rnacentral:lncRNA from 1 species
UGUUCUUAUAAGGAAAUACACAAACAUGAAGGCAGAACACAAUAAAAAACAACUGGGAAAGAAAAAAGGAAAGAAACAUAAGUUUUCUCAUUUGUUGAGCUGAUUCAAUUCAAUAGGCAUUUAUUCAGGACAGACUAUGUGUUCCAAGAACAGGGGAUAUAAAGAUGAAUAAGACAAUUAUCACUUCAAGAAACUUUCAGUCUAUCCCGGAUACUGACUCAGAAACUGUAAUCCAAUAAAAUAAGUGUACUUAGGAUUCAAAGAAAAAACACUUAUGAGGGAGCAAAUAAUUCAAUCCAUAGGGACUUUUACUAUACUGCUAUAACCUAACUAAAAUUCAUGAGGUUGGGGGCGUGAUGGCUUAUGUCUAUAAUCCUAGUAUUCUGGGAGGCUGAGAUGGGAGGAUCACUUGUGCCCAGGAGUUUGAGACCAGCCUAGGCAACAUAGUGAGACCACUGUCUCUUAAAAAAAUAUUUUUUUCCACGAGAAAACAUCACAGGGAAGGUGACUUUUAAUCUGGUCUAAAAAGAUGAGUAGGUUUUCCCCAGCUAGAGGAGGGCAUUCCAGGAAGAAAGAACAGAUUGUAAAGUCAGUCCCAGAAGUAAAACAAAAUACGUGGCAUAUUCUGGUAACAGAGAACAGCUUGUUGUAGGUGAAUCAAAAGGAGCAGCAGACAAGAGGCAGGCGAGGCAGGCGGGGGCCAUCUUAUGAAGUCACCAGAGUCAACAAGUGUGGUCAUGAACUCAGCCUGGUCUUCAAACUGUUUGUUACUUGUCCAUGCUGGUUCAUGCUGGGACCUUUAAAAAGGGGACUAAGAGUCCAUGCCCAGGGAAUGGUUUCUCUCUCUUCCGCUGGACUUUAACAAGCAAGCACAUGACGGGCUUCAUCAGUCCUGGACGAGAAAGCUGAGAUGAAAAUAACUUGAGUCUUGGAUGAAAUCAGUGACCCUAUGAUAUCAUCACAUCUAGAGCUGACUCUAACUGGACUUCCAGCUAUUUCCAGGACAUAUUCAAGCAGAGUUUGGAUAACCACCUGCCAAAGAUCUGUAUUGGGUGGGAAGUUGGUUCAUACCUGUCUUAAUUGUCCAAGAUUCUAUUCUUCACCUAGAUUAUCUCUGUAAAUCAUGAAGUGCUUACUAAAAGUAUUAUAUCCAAAUGAAUAUUCAAGUAAAAAUAUAAACAAUAAAAUAAUAGAGAAUGCUAAUAACAGUGCUAAAUACUGUGUAUACAUCAUUUUUAAUUAGUACUGACAAUCUCGUAAGUUAGGUAUUACUUCUAUACCUUUUUUUUUUUUUCAGCUGAGAAAAACAGACCCAAAGAAGCUAUGCCUUGCUUGAGGUCACAUAGCCAGCUAUUGAACCUAAGUCUGUCAUACAUCAAAGCCAUGCUCUUAAUGAAUUAGGAAAGAAUCUUAAGGAAUCAUCUGAUUCAGCUCCUUAUUUUAUAAAGGAGGGACUUUUCCCAUCACACAAUGAUACAUGAACAUUAUACAUCCUCUUAAUUAUGUUCUCAGUAUCUUUUGUUCUUGAGAUUUUAGACUCAAUGUACUUACAAGCAGAAUAUGAUCAUACUUCAUUAGCCCAUCAGCAGCUACGAGGAUGACAAGGUUGCUAUACUAAGGAAAUCACACUCUGUUCAACUCCAGGCAUCACCAUGGCAUAGCACUGAGCUGUUUGAUUAGUGACAUUUAAUACCAAUUCAGUCUCUAGCCUAAUUAAUUUCUAAUUAAUUCUAAUUUCUAAUUAGUUUCUAAUUAAUAAGAGACAACUGUCUACCCUGUAGGCACGAAACUUAAGAUCCUAGUCUAUUUUAAAAUGUAACUACCCAUGUACAGAUUCAUAAUGCCAAACAGUUGAGAUCUUCUAAGCCAAAUUACCCUAAUCUGGUCCAAAAUCUAAACUAACUUUUCCAAAAGACAGCUAGUAAAGAAUAACAAUAAUGGUUUAAAUAAUAAGACUAAAGGCUUGUUCUUACCUUUAAGAAAGUUAAAAAAAAAAAAAAAAAGAGUGUUGAAUGAGAUGAUAUGGCUACCACACUGAUUCUGAAUUGGUAAAGGGUUAUUUUACUUCUAUGCACCUAAUUCUGGAGAUUUCAUUGGUUGAGGUCAGUAUCUGCUUUCUCCUGACAACAGAUAUCCAGAGUUCCCAGAAUGACAUAGUAAUAAGAACAUAAGAACCUUAUGUUACAAGAUUUGUUGGUAUAUAUCCUUUGGGGGAAAAAGCCAC